AUUGAACGCUGGCGGCAUGCUUUACACAUGCAAGUCGAACGGUAACAGGCCGCAAGGUGCUGACGAGUGGCGAACGGGUGAGUAAUGCAUCGGAACGUGCCCAGUCGUGGGGGAUAACGCAGCGAAAGCUGCGCUAAUACCGCAUACGAUCUGUGGAUGAAAGCGGGGGACCGUAAGGCCUCGCGCGAUUGGAGCGGCCGGUGUCAGAUUAGGUAGUUGGUGGGGUAAAGGCCCACCAAGCCGACGAUCUGUAGCUGGUCUGAGAGGACGACCAGCCACACUGGGACGGAGACACGGCCCAGACUCCUACGGGAGGCAGCAGUGGGGAAUUUUGGACAAUGGGGGCAACCCUGAUCCAGCAAUGCCGCGUGCAGGAAGAAGGCCUUCGGGUUGUAAACUGCUUUUGUACGGAACGAAACGGCUCUGGUUAAUACCUGGGGCUAAUGACGGUACCGUAAGAAUAAGCACCGGCUAACUACGUGCCAGCCGCCGCCGUAAAAC
rnacentral:rRNA from 1 species